GUGGGGAAUAUUCCGCAAUGGACGAAAGUCUGACGGAGCAACGCCGCGUGAGUGAUGAAGGUUUUCGGACUGUAAAGCUCUGUUGUUUGGGACGAAAGUGCCUGUUGCGAACAGUUACGGGUAUUGACGGUACUAAACGAGGAAGCCACGGCUAACUACGUGCCAGCAGCCGCGGUAAUACGUAGGUGGCAAGCGUUGUCCGGAAUUAUUGGGCGUAAAGAGCAUGUAGGCGGGAAUCUAAGUCUGUUGUUAAAAUGCGGGGCUCAACCCCGUAUUGCGAUGGAAACUGGGUUUCUUGAGUGCAGGAGAGGAAAGGGGAAUUUCCAGUGUAGCGGUGAAAUGCGUAGAUAUUGGGAGGAACACCAGUGGCGAAGGCGCCUUUCUGGACUGUGUCUGACGCUGAGAUGCGAAAGCCAGGGUAGCGAACGGGAUUAGAUACCCUAGUAGUCC
rnacentral:rRNA from 1 species